CAGAAAGGAAAAAGAAAACCAAAGAGGUUAUUUUUGUUCAAGUAGAGAAAGGAGUUCCUUUUGGCACCUUUUCUAAGGCAUGAACUAUACCCAAAGAACAGCUGAAAUGGGGUGGGAAUGGCACUCCUGGUGUAAACAGUGAGAUUUUUCUAAGGCAACAGCUACUCCUUUAGAUACAGGUUUGUGCUGAACUGGAAAUUUGGGAGGUAGAAACUGAUUAUCAUUCCUGCUGGUAAAUCUGCCAGGCUAAAUAUGAAAAUAAAAGGCCCAAAUUUUCCAGGCAAAGCUUGCCAAUUCUAAAUAAUCCUGCUAAACAUGUCAGCUGGAGACUGAUGCAAGGGCUGCUGCUCAUACAUUAUGUAGAAUUCAGGGCCACAGCACAGAACUCUGAGGUUUUGGGGCUGAGAAAUGUGUCUGGAUCUGCUCCACUGCUCUAUGUUGAUGAGACCCAGGGGAAGCAGAGCAAUUCAUUCUGCAGAGGUUUCUGGGAGCUCCCAGAUGCAGGCUGUUCUGCAUUAUUCUUUCUUCUGUGCCUCUUGUGGUAUUCGUGACAGCCAGUGACAAUGUCAUAGAAGGCUACCACGUUGGUUGAGCAUGACUUCCCCCUGGUGAACCCAUGAUGGCUACUCCUGAUAACCUCCUUUUCUUCCAAUUGUUUGGAGAUGGCAUCCAGCACAACCUGUUCCAUCACCUUUCCAGGGACAGAGGUGAGGCUGAAUAUAAUAAAAUAUUAGUUAAGAUUUAUUUAUUUAUUUUU
rnacentral:lncRNA from 1 species